rnacentral:rRNA from 1 species
UGGGGAAUUUUCCACAAUGGGCGAAAGCCUGAUGCAGCCAUGCCGCGUGUGUGAAGAAGGCCUUCGGGUUGUAAAGCACUUUUAGCGGGGAAGAAGGCGAUAAGGUUAAUAACCUUGUCGACAGACGUUACCCGCAGAAGAAGCACCGGCGAACUCCGGGCCAGCAGCCGCGGUAACACGGAGGGUGCAAGCGUUAAGCGGAAUUACUGGGCGUAAAGCGCACGCAGGCGGUCUGUCAAGUCGGAUGUGAAAUCCCCGGGGUCAACCUGGGAAGUGCAUUCGGAACUGGCAAGCUAGAGUCUGGUAGAGGGGGGAAGAAUUCCAGGUGUAGCGGUGAAAUGCGUAGAGAUCUGGAGGAAUACCGGUGGCGAAGGCGGCCCCCUGGGCAGAGACUGACGCUGAGGGGCGAAAGCGUGGGGAGCGAACGGG